GACGAACGCUGGCGGCGUGCUUAACACAUGCAAGUCGAACGGAAAGGCCCUGCUUUUGUGGGGUGCUCGAGUGGCGAACGGGUGAGUAACACGUGAGUAACCUGCCCUUGACUUUGGGAUAACUUCAGGAAACUGGGGCUAAUACCGGAUAGGAGCUCCUGCUGCAUGGUGGGGGUUGGAAAGUUUCGGCGGUUGGGGAUGGACUCGCGGCUUAUCAGCUUGUUGGUGGGGUAGUGGCUUACCAAGGCUUUGACGGGUAGCCGGCCUGAGAGGGUGACCGGCCAAAUUGGGACUGAGAUACGGCCCAGACUCCUACGGGAGGCAGCAGUGGGGAAUAUUGCACAAUGGGCGGAAGCAUGAUGCAGCAACGCCGCGUGCGGGAUGACGGCAUUCGGGUUGUAAACCGCUUUCGCCUGUGACGAAGCGUGAGUGACGGUAAUGGGUAAAGAAGCACCGGCUAACUACGUG
rnacentral:rRNA from 1 species